UACGAAGGGGGCUAGCGUUGCUCGGAAUCACUGGGCGUAAAGCGCACGUAGGCGGCUUUUUAAGUCAGGGGUGAAAUCCUGGAGCUCAACUCCAGAACUGCCUUUGAUACUGAGAAGCUUGAGUUCGGGAGAGGUGAGUGGAACUGCGAGUGUAGAGGUGAAAUUCGUAGAUAUUCGCAAGAACACCAGUGGCGAAGGCGGCUCACUGGCCCGAUACUGACGCUGAGGUGCGAAAGCGUGGGGAG
rnacentral:rRNA from 1 species